rnacentral:rRNA from 1 species
ACCCCUGUGACAUACCACUUGUUGCCUCGGCGGAUCAGCCCGCUCCCGGUAAAACGGGACGGCCCGCCAGAGGACCCCUAAACUCUGUUUCUAUAUGUAACUUCUGAGUAAAACCAUAAAUAAAUCAAAACUUUCAACAACGGAUCUCUUGGUUCUGGCAUCGAUGAAGAACGCAGCAAAAUGCGAUAAGUAAUGUGAAUUGCAGAAUUCAGUGAAUCAUCGAAUCUUUGAACGCACAUUGCGCCCGCCAGUAUUCUGGCGGGCAUGCCUGUUCGAGCGUCAUUUCAACCCUCAAGCACAGCUUGGUGUUGGGACUCGCGUUAAUUCGCGUUCCCCAAAUUGAUUGGCGGUCACGUCGAGCUUCCAUAGCGUAGUAGUAAAACCCUCGUUACUGGUAAUCGUCGCGGCCACGCCGUUAAACCCCAACUUCUGAAUGUUGACCUCGGAUCAGGUAGGAAUACCCGCUGAACUUAAGCAUAUCAA